CUACGGAAAUCGCCUCCCUGGGCGAAUUGUGCUUUUCCCGUUUGGUCGCGGGGGCGGCGUAAAAUUGUAAGAUUACGAUGACGAUUUAACACAUUUGUCACUGACGGCCGCGGAAGGACUGACUUGAGAGCGUAAUCCCCGUUUUACGCGUCCCCACUUCAAGCGACAUAUUCAUUUCAAGAGGGGAGGAAAUGGGAUAUUGGCGACCCUCGGAUGGACGCGGUUUUUUUUGAGAUAAUUCCACGCGAAUUAUAGCUUCUUGCAUAAUUUACGAAGGGGCCGAGAUCCGGGCAAAUUGGCUUUUCUACUUUCCAGCACGUUUUUAAUUGUUUUCCGCACCCAGACAAAUCUGAGCAAGUCGGCUGAAAUCUGACUCAGAAGCUUCAUACGCGCUUUUUCGACAAAACCGCAGAAAAACGUUCAAUCCUAGUGUUUGAGCUUCUGUCCACCUUCAGUGAUUCAGCAGAAAAUCCUCAAAAAUGUAAGAAAGAAAUUGGUCGAAAUAACCGGUCGUUUCCAACCUUUUUUGGCAUUUUUAUCUGGAUGGCCAGAAAGGACCAAGCUUUCUGCAAAUCCCAAGAAGAACAAAAAACCUUUAAAUUUCUUCACAUUCCAUUAUAACUGAAGAUUGUGACAAGUUGUAUAUUAAAGGAUAACCGCCUAAAAAAAUGCUGUCCUAAAUAAAUGUCGAAGAUUACAGUAGUUUGACAGACCGUAACAACGGCGACCAAAACCUCAAAAAAAAACAAAAAAACAUUCAAUCUCCGUGUUUCAACUUCUUGCUAUCUUCAGUGCUCAUUCAACAGAAAAUGCUCAUUAUAUAAAAUUUAAGAAAUUGGUCGAAAUAAUAAAUCUCUCGGUCGUUUCCAACAGUUUCUGACAUUUCUGCUUACAUUAUUUCAACUUUAUUUUUCAGGAGGACAUAUGUCAUUUAUAGAAAUGAGAUUUCCAGAAAAUAUAUCUUACGGUUCAAUUGGAGGACCGGAAUUUUCCACUGGUCACAAAAGACCAAGCUUUCCGCAAAACCUCAAGAAGAACAGAAAACCUUUAAAUUUCUUCACAUUGCAUUGUAACUGAAGAUUGUGAUAGGUAGUAUAUUAAAGGAUAAUUGCCUAUAAAAAAUGCUGCCCUAAAUAAAUGACGAAGAUUUCAGUAGUUUGACAGACCUUAACAGCGACAACCAAAACCUCAAAAAAAAAAAAAAAUUCAAUCUCCGUGUUUCAGCUUCUUGCUAUCUUCAGUGCCGAUUGAACAGAAAACGCUCAUUAUAUAAAAUUUAAGAAAUUGGUCGAAAUAAUUGUAGCUCGGUCGUUUCCAACAGUUUUUUGACAUUUCUGCUUACAUUAUUUCAACUUUAUUUUCAGGAGGACAUAUGUCAUUUAUAGAAAUGAGAUUUCCAGAAAAUAUAUCUUACGGUUCAAUUGGAGGACCGGAAUUUUCCACUGGUCACAAAAGACCAAGCUUUCCGCAAAACCUCAAGAAGAACAGAAAACCUUUAAAUUUCUUCACAUUCCAUUAUAACUGAAGAUCGUGACAAGUAGUAUAUUAAAGGAUAAUCGCCUAUAAAAAAAUGCUGCCCUAAAUAAAUGACGAAGAUUUCAGUAGUUUGACAGACCUUAACAGCGAGACAGAUAUAUCAGAUCGACCGGAAAUUAAAAAUUCCGAUUUAUGAAGAAAUAUUGUAUUUUGUGAACAACACACGUAUUAGAAGAAACAGACACUUGUCAUAAUAUUUAUGAACGCAGUGAGAUUUCUCGUUGAGGCAUUCGGGUGAUGAAGUUUGAUAACCUCUGAUCUUCAGGUCAGCCCAUGCUCACUGUCUGUGAGGCGCGUUCCGACAUCUUCAGUGGUAUCUAAUGAUGUUUGAAAAGUAUAAAUAGGAAGAAAAAACACACAGAUACUACAGAUUACAAAAUGCAGAACGCAUCUGACGGCGGAAACGACCAAGACUGACCUUACGAGGAAAUCUCAUAGUUUAUAAACAUUAGACAAGCCUGGUAUUAUAAAAUUUUUCGCUCAGUACGAGUGGACAUACAAUUUCACCCUUAGGUCGUUCAAGUGCUAAAGAUCGGGAGGACGAGAUGUAACAGGGGAUGAAUCAUUUCGACGGACGUCAAGAAGGUCGGCUUCGUGGCACGGCUAUUUUGAGAAAGAAUUCAGUAUUUUUGUCAACGCUCCAGUCCGGACAUUCUGGGCCCCUAGAAAUACAACGAUUGUAAAAAUAGACUCUUAUCACGAACGAGAUUCGGAUAAAAAGUAGUUCUGAUCAUUUUUUUUUUUUUUUAAUAAAACGUCUCUUCCGGCAAAUCAGGAAGUCUCUCCAGAGCGGUUGUCACCAGAUCGAUCCGCGAGCUCUUUUAAGGAAAACCCGUGGGCCGUGAGGUCAGCUGGAAGGAAACCGUGAUGUCCCACAUCAAUACAAAAUGUAUAAACAUGAUGAGCCUGUCUUUGUGGAGCCCCGGAAGCCAAAAAAAGGCUCUACGUAGUAUGAGGUGUUGUUGGAGAUUUCAAGUGGA